rnacentral:rRNA from 1 species
GACGAACGCUGGCGGCGUGCUUAACACAUGCAAGUCGAACGAAGAGCGAUGGAAGCUUGCUUCUAUCAAUCUUAGUGGCGAACGGGUGAGUAACGCGUAAUCAACCUGCCCUUCAGAGGGGGACAACAGUUGGAAACGACUGCUAAUACCGCAUACGAUCUAAUCUCGGCAUCGAGGAUAGAUGAAAGGUGGCCUCUACAUGUAAGCUAUCACUGAAGGAGGGGAUUGCGUCUGAUUAGCUAGUUGGAGGGGUAACGGCCCACCAAGGCGAUGAUCAGUAGCCGGCCUGAGAGGAUGAACGGCCACAUUGGGACGGAGACACGGCCCAGACCCCUACGGGGGGCAGCAGGGGGGAAUCUUCCGCAAGGGACGAAGGUCUGACGGAGCAACGCCGCGUGAGUGAUGACGGCCGUCGGGUUGUAAAGCUCGGUUAAUCGGGACGAAAGGCCUUCUUGCGAAUAGGGAGAAGGAUUGACGGUACCGGAAUAGAAAGCCACGGCUAACUACGUG